GGGCUCAACUCGUGACNNGCNGUUGAUACUGGGAGGCUNGAAUANGGAUGAAGCGGGAGGAAUGUAUGGUGUAGCGGUGAAAUGNUUAGAUAUCAUACAGAAGGCNUAAUGCGAAGGCAUCUCGNUAAUCCGUUAUUGACGCUGAGGCACGAAAGCGUGGGUAUCAAACAGGAUUAGAUACCCUGGUAGUCCACGCCGUAAACGAUGAUAACUCGCUGCUGGGGCAAUUAAGCUUCAGUGGCUUAGCGAAAGCGUUAAGUUAUCCACCUGGGGAGUACGGUCGCAAGACUGAAACUCAAAGGAAUUGACGGGGGCCCGCACAAGCGGAGGAACAUGUGGUUUAAUUCGAUGAUACGCGAGGAACCUUACCCGGGCUCGAACGGCUAUAGAAUACAGUGGAAACAUUGUAGCCAGCAAUGGCGUAGUCGAGGUGCUGCAUGGUUGUCGUCAGCUCGUGCCGUGAGGUGUCGGCUUAAGUGCCAUAACGAGCGCAACCCUUGUCGUUAGUUGCCAGCGGGUCAUGCCGGGGACUCUAACGAGACUGCCAGCGUAAGCUGUGAGGAAGGGGGGGANGACGUCAAAUCAGCACGGCCCUUACGUCCGGGGCGACACACGUGUUACAAUGGGGGGUACAGCCGGUUGCUACCUANCGAUAGGAUGCUAAUCUGUAAAGCCCCUCCCAGUUCGGAUUGGAGUCUGCAACUCGACUCCAUGAAGUUGGAUUCGCUAGUAAUCGCGCAUCAGCCAUGGCGCGGUGAACACGUUCCCGGGCCUUGUACACACCGCCCGUCAUCUUGCNGAAAAA
rnacentral:rRNA from 1 species